rnacentral:lncRNA from 1 species
AUGUGUAGUGUAAUUCCAAUAGAGCCACCUUGCUUGGCCUGAGUAGGAUGGAGAACAAGGAAAACAACUUAUACAACUUCCAUGAGGAUUUAAGAGCAAGCAUACGGUUAGUCCCCACUCCCUUUUGAUCCAAAUGCGUCUUUUGUACCUUGUAAUUCUUUCUGUAGAUGUUCACCGCCUUUGCAUGAGCUAAUAUCAUGUUAUGCGCUGCAAUGUAGGGCUCAGUUGAUGAAUUCCCGGAAUCGCAUUUCCCGUACGGCUCAGAACAGUGGCUGGGUGGAAAUCCCCCAGCGAAGUAUGCGAGCUUUACCAUA